GUUCAAAUGAGGAAGGGCUUACGGUGGAUACCUAGGCACCCAGAGAUGAGGAAGGGCAUGGUAAGUGACGAAAUGCUUCGGGGAGUUGAAAAUGAGCAUAGAUCCGGAGAUUCCCAAAUAGGUUAACCUUUUUAACUGCUGCUGAAUCCAUGGGCAGGCAAGAGACAACCUAGCGAACUGAAACAUCUUAGUAGCCAUAGGAAUAGGAAGCAAAAGUGAUUCCCGUAGUAGCGGUGAGUGAAAUGGGAGUAGCCUAAACCGUGAAAAUGGGGUUGUGGGAGAGCACAAUAUAAGCUCUGUGCUGCUAGGCGAAGCGGUUGAGUCCUGCACCCUAGAUGGUGAGAUUCUAGUAGCCAAAAGCAUCAUUGGGUUACGCUCUAACCCAAGUAUCAUGGGGCACGUGGAAUCCCAUGAGAAUCAACAAGGACCACCUUGCAAGGCUAAAUACUCCUGGGUGACCGAUAGUGAAGUAGCACCAUGAGGGAAAGGUGAAAAGAACCCCCAUCGGGGAUUGAAAUAGAACAUGAAACCGUAAGCUCCCAAGUAGUGGGAGCAAAAUGAUAUCUCUGACCGCGUUCCUAUUGAAGAAUGAGCUGGUGACUUAUAGGCAGUGGCUUGGUUAAGGGAACCCACCGGAGCCGUAGCAAGAGCGAGUCUUCAUGGGGAAAUUGUCACUUCUUAUGGACCCGAACCUGGGUGAUCUAUCCAUGACCAGGAUGAAGCUUGGGUGAAACUAAGUGGAGGUCCGAA
rnacentral:ncRNA from 1 species